AGACCCGAAACCCGGUGAUCUAGCCAUGGGCAGGUUGAAGGUUGGGUAACACUAACUGGAGGACCGAACCGACUAAUGUUGAAAAAUUAGCGGAUGACCUGUGGCUGGGGGUGAAAGGCCAAUCAAACCGGGAGAUAGCUGGUUCUCCCCGAAAGCUAUUUAGGUAGCGCCUCGUGAAUUCAUCUCCGGGGGUAGAGCACUGUUUCGGCUAGGGGGCCAUCCCGGCUUACCAACCCGAUGCAAACUGCGAAUACCGGAGAAUGUUAUCACGGGAGACACACGGCGGGUGCUAACGUCCGUCGUGAAGAGGGAAACAACCCAGACCGCCAGCUAAGGUCCCAAAGUCAUGGUUAAGUGGGAAACGAUGUGGGAAGGCCCAGACAGCCAGGAUGUUGGCUUAGAAGCAGCCAUCAUUUAAAGAAAGCGUAAUAGCUCACUGGUCGAGUCGGCCUGCGCGGAAGAUGUAACGGGGCUAAACCAUGCACCGAAGCUGCGGCAGCGACGCUGAUGCGUUGUUGGGUAGGGGAGCGUUCUGUAAGCCUGCGAAGGUGGCCUGUGAGGGUUGCUGGAGGUAUCA
rnacentral:rRNA from 1 species